rnacentral:rRNA from 1 species
GNCAGGCGAUACGGGCAUAACUAGAGUGCUGUAGGAGAGACUGGAAUUCCUGGUGUAGCGGUGGAAUGCGCAGAUAUCAGGAGGAACACCGAUGGCGAAGGCAGGUCUNUGGGCAGUAACUGACGCUGAGGAGCGAAAGCAUGGGGAGCGAACAGGAUUAGAUACCNUGGUAGUCCAUGCUGUAAACGGUGGGCGUUAGGUGUGGGGACCGGUUUGGUUUCUGUGCCGUAGCUAACGCAUUAAGCGCCCCGCCUGGGGAGUACGGCCGCAAGGCUAAAACUCAAAGGAAUUGACGGGGGCCCGCACAAGCGGCGGAGCAUGUGGAUUAAUUCGAUGCAACGCGAAGAACCUUACCUGGGUUUGACAUGCACCAGACGGUUGUAGAGAUACGUACCUCCCUUUGUGGUUGGUGUGCAGGUGGUGCAUGGUUGUCGUCAGCUCGUGUCGUGAGAUGUUGGGUUAAGUCCCGCAACGAGCGCAACCCUUGUCUUAUGUUGCCAGCACGUUUAGGGUGGGGACUCAUGAGAGACUGCCGGGGUUAACUCGGAGGAAGGUGGGGAUGACGUCAAAUCAUCAUGCCCUUUAUGCCCAGGGCUUCACACAUGCUACAAUGGUUAGUACAACGCGCUGCGAACCUGUGAGGGUGAGCGAAUCGCUGAAAGCUAAUCUCAGUUCGGAUUGGGGUCUGCAACUCGGCCCCAUGAAGUCGGAGUCGCUAGUAAUCGCAGAUCAGCAAUGCUGCGGUGAAUACGUUCCCGGGCCUUGUACACACCGCCCGUCACGUCAUGAAAGUUGGUAACACCCGAAGCCCAUGGCCUAACCACCGUUUGGUGGGGGGAGUGGUCGA